rnacentral:RNase_P_RNA from 1 species
GCGGAAGGCUGGAUGGCUGAGGCGCUUUAUUUGACGGGCCAUAAUCCUUCGCGACUCGGUGCCAACUACUGCUUCGCAAGGGUAUAGGCCUUUCCAAAUUAAAGCGCUUAGGAAAGUCCGGACUCCAUGAAAAAACGGUGCCGGGUAACGCCCGGCGGGGGCAACCCCAGGGAAAGCGCCACAGAGAAUAGACUGCCUUCGUCUACGAAGGUGAUGGUGAAACGGUGCGGUAAGAGCGCACCGCGCGGCCGGAAACGGUCGUGGCGAGGCAAGCCCCACCGGGAGCAACGCCAAAUAGGAACCUCGCGGCGCAAGCCAGGGCCUUUUCAGCCCGAGAUGGUUCGGGUUGGCGGCUAGAGGAGCAUCGGCGACGACGCUUCGAGAUGAAUAGCCAUCCUGAGGUUCAUUCCUCAGACAGAAUCCGGCUUACAGGCUUUCCGCGCAU